ensembl:lncRNA
AUAGCGAGAGUUAGGAGGACAUGUAGAGAACGAUAGAAGGUUAGCGGCCUCUGGCUUUAUAGCGAGAGUUAGGAGGACAUGUAGAGAAUGAUAGAAGGUUAGCAUCCUCUGGCUUUAUAGCGAGAGUUAGGAGGACAUGUAGAGAAUGAUAGAAGGUUAGCGGCCUCUGGCUUUAUAGCGAGAGUUAGGAGGACAUGUAGAGAACGAUAGAAGGUUAGCGGCCUCUGGCUUUAUAGCGAGAGUUAGGAGGACAUGUAGAGAAUGAUAGAAGGUUAGCGUCCUCUAGCCUUAUAGCGAGAGUUAGGAGGACAUGUAGAGAAUGAUAGAAGGUUAGCGUCCUAUAGCCUUAUAGCGAGAGUUAGGAGGACAUGUAGAGAACUAUAGAAGGUUAGCGUCCUCUGGCUUUAUAGCGAGAGUUAGGAGGACAUGUAGAGAAUGAUAGAAGGUUAGCAUCCUCUGGCUUUAUAGCGAGAGUUAGGAGGACAUGUAGAGAAUGAUAGA